GAAUGAGUGAUGGCCAUCCAGUGACCAGCUGAAACUGACUGCCUUACAAGUCGCAAGUGUAUGAUUAAGAGAGAUACGUUCACAACUCCCAGAUUGACCUCCUUCCUGUUCCACAGAGUUACUGAAGGGAGUGAGUUAUGGGAUAACUUAUAAGACGGCAGGCUCUUACUCAAGAUAGCUCUUGUCAAAACAGGAAGAUGAAACUCAGGUUUCAACGAGGAGACCACAGCUUAUCCCCAAGGAGACAUCUCCUGAAGAGGUGGAAUAUCUAGAGGAGUCCUGCAAUAUUUGCUGAGCUCUAGCUGAGGAUGCAGACACUUUGACACGUUCAGCUUCAGACUUGGAAUCUCUUGUGGUUAGCAGCUGAAGUCCAUAGGUGGUGUUUUCAUUGUCCUAUUGACAUGGAUUUCCUCAAGAAGAGGAGGAAGAGGAGGAGAAGGAGGAGGAGAACAACUACAUGCUUGGUGGUGACACUUCAUUGUAGCUAGAAUCCAGAGUGGAGUAAACAGAUGUGCUGGAGAAUCUCUGUAAUGGAGGGUGUAACGAGGAAGCCUGGUCUGGGCUGCAGCAGGUAGCUGAGGAAAAAAGGAAGAAAGAGCAACCCGGAGCUCAGAGCUUCCUCCCAUGCUCAGGAAUUGCCACCAGUACCAUUACAUUGGCCUCUUCUUGUAUGCCUCUGGAAACCACAUGUGUCCUCUGUUUGUAAUGGUUUGGCUAAUGUUGCUAGAUCCUCUUGGACAUUGUUUUUAGAACUUAAAGAAACAUUGCUUUAAAGGUUUAUCAGGAUGUAUUUAAAAUAAAACCAUCCUCUUCUCAUUUGGUAUGCAAUUGAUUCUUCCAGUUUCCUCAGUCAAAACUCAUUGAUCAAAUUUACUCUUUGAGAAAUACAGACAUGUAUAUAGCAUAUUGGGGAUAUUCUCACCCUCCCUCACACUCUCUUAUCACCCUUCCAGCCCUGACACCCUCAAUCCUCAUGUCUUUCACACACUCAUGUCUUUGUUUUAUGAACCAGUGAUUUUUAACCAGGGCCAUCUGUGUUACUAUGGCUUUAUCUACUGGAACUGGUUGGCUCAAAAUAGACUGUGACUUUCCCUUCUCCCAAAUCCACCAUAGCUACCAGUUCAACCCCUCCAUCCCCUUCCCAAUCCAUGACUGACUGUUAGAAAGCUCAGUCUUAUACAGGCCCAGUACAGGUACCCAUAGCUACUAUGAGAUCAUACCCUGAAGAUAUGUAGCCAUUUUCCUUGUCUUCCAUUUCUGCUUCUACUGUGUUCCCUGAGCCCUAGAUGGGGUAGUAUGAAUGACCUGACAACCUGAACAGGUGGAAGUAUAUGUGUUCACUUAGAUAAAACAAAGACAAUAACCAAUAGGAAAUAUAUUAUAAGUACUGCACAUGCUAUAGAAAAUGUAGAGAAUAAGAAAACUCAAACAGUGCUGUAUAAAUUCAAGAUCAUUGCUCUAUGUCAAUGUCAGUAGCGUAUCACUUCCAAAGGAUAUAUAUCACUUUUGAAAUUA